UACGUAGGGCGCAAGCGUUAUCCGGAAUUAUUGGGCGUAAAGAGCUCGUAGGCGGUUUGUCGCGUCUGCCGUGAAAGUCCGGGGCUCAACUCCGGAUCUGCGGUGGGUACGGGCAGACUAGAGUGAUGUAGGGGAGACUGGAAUUCCUGGUGGUAGCGGUGAAAUGCGCAGAUAUCAGGAGGAACACCGAUGGCGAAGGCAGAUCUCUGGGCCGUAACUGACGCUGAGGAGCGAAAGCGUGGGGAGCAAACAGG
rnacentral:rRNA from 1 species